GUCAGCCCCUCGCGUGGCGCUAACCAGGCCAACUCCCCUAGGUCAGAAAUGAAGCAAGGGUAACCGGGCUCUGGCGGGUGCGCGAGGGGUCUUAUCU
rnacentral:SRP_RNA from 1 species